rnacentral:rRNA from 1 species
AUGAGUGAGUGUAACAUCUCUGUCGAUAGGAUGUCAUCACCUUCCCUGAAGCAUUUGAGCAUCACUGGUUGCCUCUCCGAUUUGCGUGCCCGGCUCCGCAUUUCUACUCCGGGCCUUGUCUCUUUGAAGCUCGAUGACUUUUUCGGUAAAACCCCUUUCCUUGAAAACAUGGAGUUGCUACAGAUCGCAUGUGUGAAUCUUGGCAAAAGCUUCAGCGAUGUCUGUAUGAAUUAUAACUCCGGUGUCUUCUGUGGAGAUAAUAAGAAUGGAUGUGUCAAUUGUCUUUCACAUAACGAUGGCAGCAGCGGUUGCGUGCUUCUGGGUGGGAUCUCAAGUGCUAAACAUCUUGAAUUGAUAUCUGAAUCGAGCAAGUUCAUUUUCACAAGAGAUUUGAAAUGCUGCCCUACAUUUAGUAAGUUAAAGACUUUAUUACUCAAUGAGUACUGGUGCGAGGCUCCGGACUUGGAUCCACUAGCUUGCAUUCUGAAAAAUUCACCAGUUCUAGAGAAGCUCACUCUUCAACUUUUUUCAAAGGGACCAACUCAUAAAGUGGAAAUGAAAGGAAGCUACAGUCCAAUGGAGGGACCAUCUGCAAUAUCAGAGCACCUUAACAUAGUUGAAGUCAAGUGUAAUGUGGUCGACGAGAAGAUUCUCAAAGUCUUGAAGUUCUUAUCUGCAUUUAACAUACGAUUCGUUUUUUUGUAA